UACGUAGGGGGCAAGCGUUGUCCGGAUUCAUUGGGCGUAAAGAGCUCGUAGGCGGCUUGGCAAGUCGGGUGUGAAACCUCCAGGCUCAACCUGGAGACGCCACCCGAUACUGCCAUGGCUAGAGUCCGGUAGGGGAGCGUGGAAUUCCCGGUGUAGCGGUGAAAUGCGCAGAUAUCGGGAGGAACACCAGUGGCGAAGGCGGCGCUCUGGGCCGGGAACUGACGCUGAGGAGCGAAAGCGUGGGGAGCAAACAGG
rnacentral:rRNA from 1 species